GCGAACGGGGAGGAGCCCAGAGCCUGAAUCAGUGUGUGUGUUAGUGGAAGCGUCUGGAAAGGCGCGCGAUACAGGGUGACAGCCCCGUACACAAAAAUGCACAUGCUGUGAGCUCGAUGAGUAGGGCGGGACACGUGGUAUCCUGUCUGAAUAUGGGGGGACCAUCCUCCAAGGCUAAAUACUCCUGACUGACCGAUAGUGAACCAGUACCGUGAGGGAAAGGCGAAAAGAACCCCGGCGAGGGGAGUGAAAAAGAACCUGAAACCGUGUACGUACAAGCAGUGGGAGCACGCUUAGGCGUGUGACUGCGUACCUUUUGUAUAAUGGGUCAGCGACUUAUAUUCUGUAGCAAGGUUAACCGAAUAGGGGAGCCGAAGGGAAACCGAGUCUUAACUGGGCGUUAAGUUGCAGGGUAUAGACCCGAAACCCGGUGAUCUAGCCAUGGGCAGGUUGAAGGUUGGGUAACACUAACUGGAGGACCGAACCGACUAAUGUUGAAAAAUUAGCGGAUGACUUGUGGCUGGGGGUGAAAGGCCAAUCAAACCGGGAGAUAGCUGGUUCUCCCCGAAAGCUAUUUAGGUAGCGCCUCGUGAAUUCAUCUCCGGGGGUAGAGCACUGUUUCGGCAAGGGGGUCAUCCCGACUUACCAACCCGAUGCAAACUGCGAAUACCGGAGAAUGUUAUCACGGGAGACACACGGCGGGUGCUAACGUCCGUCGUGAAGAGGGAAACAACCCAGACCGCCAGCUAAGGUCCCAAAGUCAUGGUUAAGUGGGAAACGAUGUGGGAAGGCCCAGACAGCCAGGAUGUUGGCUUAGAAGCAGCCAUCAUUUAAAGAAAGCGUAAUAGCUCACUGGUCGAGUCGGCCUGCGCGGAAGAUGUAACGGGGCUAAACCAUGCACCGAAGCUGCGGCAGCGACGCUUAUGCGUUGUUGGGUAGGGGAGCGUUCUGUAAGCCUGUGAAGGUGUGCUGUGAGGCAUGCUGGAGGUAUCAGAAGUGCGAAUGCUGACAUAAGUAACGAUAAAGCGGGUGAAAAGCCCGCUCGCCGGAAGACCAAGGGUUCCUGUCCAACGUUAAUCGGGGCAGGGUGAGUCGACCCCUAAGGCGAGGCCGAAAGGCGUAGUCGAUGGGAAACAGGUUAAUAUUCCUGUACUUGGUGUUACUGCGAAGGGGGGACGGAGAAGGCUAUGUUGGCCGGGCGACGGUUGUCCCGGUUUAAGCGUGUAGGCUGGUUUUCCAGGCAAAUCCGGAAAAUCAAGGCUGAGGCGUGAUGACGAGGCACUACGGUGCUGAAGCAACAAAUGCCCUGCUUCCAGGAAAAGCCUCUAAGCAUCAGGUAACAUCAAAUCGUACCCCAAACCGACACAGGUGGUCAGGUAGAGAAUACCAAGGCGCUUGAGAGAACUCGGGUGAAGGAACUAGGCAAAAUGGUGCCGUAACUUCGGGAGAAGGCACGCUGAUAUGUAGGUGAAGUCCCUCGCGGAUGGAGCUGAAAUCAGUCGAAGAUACCAGCUGGCUGCAACUGUUUAUUAAAAACACAGCACUGUGCAAACACGAAAGUGGACGUAUACGGUGUGACGCCUGCCCGGUGCCGGAAGGUUAAUUGA
rnacentral:rRNA from 1 species